CUCUCACCUGUUAAAAAUGCUGAGAUAGGCUCCAACUUACCCAUGACUGGUAAUGGACAAAGCGUACAGGUAAUGAAUGAAUGAAUAAACUGAGUUAAUGUGAGUUAAGUGUUAAUCUGUCAGACUAUACAGCCUGUUUGACAGUGAGAACAGUGAUGGUGCGUUUGAAGCCUUUACAGGUGAAAAACAACAGAAAUAGCAGCAGAUGUCAUGACAGCUCUUGUUUUUACAUCUCCGCUAUGAGACAGAAGAUUGGAUCAUUUAUAGCUUCACCACAUGAUCCUAUGCUAAAUAUGGGUUACGCUAAUAUGGAAUCACUCAAAUGUGUCUAUACAAAUUUCUCCCAUGCCUACCUGCCUGGAUGCCUGCCUGCCUGCCUGCCUGUCUGUCAAUCUCUAACUAACUGGAGGUGUUUUCCUUCAGGCCACUGUGUAGCGUCGGGCUUUUGAGAUCACGACGUUCUGACGAGGCAGUGACGAAAAUACAGAUAUGCGGAUGCUUCUCUGUUUUCCUCGCUGCAGCACAGCUGAUCGCUUGUGUGGGAGAGGUGAUUGUGGUGCAGGACGCUCAGGUGUGGUACCGGCAGCACGUGGUGAGUCCGCCCAGUUUGUAAUUUCUUUUGCAUGUAGUCUGGCUCCCUGCUUAUGGUUUUAUAUGCUGCAGAGGGAACGUGCCGUUUGGCUUCCCUCCGUCCUCUCUGGGCUUUGCUGAUGCUGCACCAUUGGGUGCUGGAUAUUUGCAGAUCCUCUGGACUUACUAAUCCCUGGCGUCCUGCUGUUUUGGCGCUACAAGGAUUGCACACGAGCAUUAAAUUGCUUGUGCAUGUUGUUGGUGUCCAUUUCAUUCCAUUCAUGGUAUAGGUAUAGGUUCAGCAUGUAGGAUCUUAUGGACUCCUCUUUUAGUGCAAAAGCAUAGUUUCCUUUUAGUUGAACUAUACUGUUGGGCACUUUUAAUUGAUUUGCGUUUUAUAAAGUUUAUAUAUAGUUGUUUUUUAACAUUUUAUUUUGUGUGCAGGUGCUGAGAGCUGACGCAGCCUUCCUUAU